CGACCGGCGCACGGGUGCGUAACGCGUAUACAAUUUACCUUUUACUAGGGGAUAGCCCAGAGAAAUUUGGAUUAAUACCCUAUAGUAUUAUCGGAUCGCAUGGUUUGGUAAUUAAAGUUUCGGCGGUAAGAGAUGAGUAUGCGUCCUAUUAGCUAGAUGGUAAGGUAACGGCUUACCAUGGCUAUGAUAGGUAGGGGUCCUGAGAGGGAGAUCCCCCACACUGGUACUGAGACACGGACCAG
rnacentral:rRNA from 1 species